UCCCACCGAAAAACACACACAGACACAGUGCAACAGGUCCCUGCCUCGCCCGCCGCCGUCCUGCUCCCUCCAGAGACCUUUCGCCUUUUGUCAAGGGCCCACAUUUAUGACUUGAUGAAAACAUUUGUAAUAGAUCAUCAAAUACUGAUACAUUCCGCGGGACAAUAUCCCAUUUGUUAAAUAUAAAUUAACAUUAACACAGAUCCCCCGUCGCAGAAAGGCAAAGGGUUUUGACACCUUUUCAGCAGGACAGGCCGGGCCCCAGCAAAGAAAGCCGAGGGCCUGUAAAGGAACUUGUCCCGAAUGGUGAUCCUCAGGCUCUUGUGUGACAAGCGACUGUUAUGGUGUAAUGUAAAUGUAUGUCUUGGCGAGCACAUGGAAGGAAUUAAUGACGACAUCCCAAAUAUCAUGCUAUGGAAAACAAGUUAUCCGUACACAAUAACUCUGUUAGCUGGCUUAGAUGAAGAAUACUUCUGAGAAGCUUGAUGACAACGGCACUUGACUGGGCAGUGAAGCACGGCAAUCUUGAGAUGGCAGAGAUGGUCGCCAAAGCAGGCGUCGAUGUCAAUGCUAAAUCGUAUGUCACUUAUUUCAUUGUGACAGGGGUAAUGUAUUUGUAAACUGUGCUAUAAAUAUUGGAAUCUCAUAUUCAGACACCGGCAUAUCUCAUAUUCAGACACCAGUAUUUCUGAGCUAUGCUUUUUCAAAUGAAUUUAGAAUUGACAAAAAUUUUCAAAGCCAAAUUACUAGUGUGUCACUGUGAAAUUAGGUUCUUGACCCUGCUUCUGAUGUAUGCUUAUUUUUCUACACAUUUUCUCCUUCAAUUUUAUGCAUCACUAUUCACUGCUGGAAUUGGUGACAUGGCUUUCCCAAAAGGGGGAUUCUGUGUGUUUAGUCCUUGCAAAUUCAGGGAGAGCUACUGCAUCUCAGAGCUGUUUACAAGAGUAUAAUUUGGCCUCUACUGCUGGAGGAAGAAUACUGCCAGCAAGAGCUGUGUGACUGCCAGCACUCACCAUUUUGCUCUGCUGUGUGGCAAUUGAAGCCACAUCUGCAGGCUGUACUUGCUCCUGAACCGUAUGAACUCCUAAGCCAAGAUGGAGACUCGAGUGCAAAUUCACCUCCUGAUGGUUAAUAGCAGUUACAUCCAAAGACCCUGAGGAGAAUCCCUAAUUCCACUAGAGUUCCACCUUCUUCUGGAAACCCUUUUGUUGUGAGCAGGCCUGGCUCAAGGGGAUAAUAGGAGCUGGAAAUACGAGUAUAUUUGAGAAAUGCACAUAUACACUACAGACACAUAAGCUUGACCGUCUUUAGGAGCUGUCUGGUAACUUUCUACAAAGCAGCUUGACCUCCUACUGUUAUUUUUUUAUAUUUGUAUUUACUUUAUCACACAGAAAACCAAUCAUGUUACUCUGUCAUACCAGUUAUUUUAUGAAAGUAGACAGAGGCAUGUAGCAGCUCAGAAGAGCUUAGUCUCCUGAAAAGACACAGCGCUUUCUUCCCUUGAGGUCUGAAGUUAUUGGGGCAACAGAAAUGCUUAGAUUUUGUUCUAUUAAAUCCGGGUAAUAGAAUAAUAGAACAUAAUAACAGUAACAUAUUCUUGAAAAGAACCAGUACUUAAAUAUGUCCUUGAAAAAUAUCAUCAUAAUUUUAUAUCACCUACAUUAAAAGUUCAACAUCAUGUUACACAAGAGACUUGACUUGAGAGCAUACAUCCAUUUAAAUUGUUGCAAAAUGCAAUAUAAAAUUAUCUUCCAUGUUGCUGUUGGGAUCAUUCUGCUGCUUUUAUUUGGAUGUCAAAGUGACAGGCCAUUAACCUAGGGGUAAGCUAAUUAUUUAAGGAACUUUUCUUGUUUUGUACAAUGAAGAAGUAUUCUUGAAAAUACAACAUAAACAUAGAUAUCUGUGUCAGAUGGUAAUGGUCCAUUUCUUUAAAAUAUGAAAACAUAAUUUUAGCAUUCAAACAGUCAAUUCAGUGAUAAUUUAAAAUAAAACAAGAACAACCAUCAUUAAAUGGUUCUGUUUCUGGACUUAGAUUGAUGCUUAACACAUUGAUCUUCUCCAAUAGAAGCUUUCCAUAUUCCAUCUGUUAGAAUCUUUGACCUUUUCUUAACACCAUUAAAAGAUAAAAUGUUAAUCUACUGAAAAAAGAUGCAUGACCUUUUAAAAGUGAACUGUACCACUUUACAGUCUGCCAUCAUUAAAGAACUUUAUGCUCAGGAGCCCCGCAUUAUGUGUAUCAUAGCAAUAUAAUUGUUUAGAAUAAUGUAAUUGUUCAACCAAGAAGAUAUAUACCACACAUAACAUAAAUUAGAACUAGAACUAUGUGAACUUUGAAAACCCAAUCAAAAUAACAUGUCAGAUCAAGUCUCACUUUCAGUUUUAAUCAGCCUCAACCUCAAAUUUAUUUUUUAUUAAUAUGCUACAAUGCAUGCCUAGAAGAUACCAUUUUAACAAAGAAGAAGAGAGGUACUUUGGGACAAAUGAAACUACAUCACUGGCAAAGGAAGAUGCUUAUCCUCCUUUGUUUAAAAUCAUAUUUACUUCUUUUUUCACUAUAAAGAAAUUAUUGGAGCACAAAUAUUUUAUAUUUCAUAAGGAAUUUCAAUAGCAGGGAAAAUAAUGAAAAUGGACUUAACUUGUUUUUAAUAAAUAUGAAUUAUCUUAACAUGAUUUCUUAAAAACAGUGGCCACAAUUCAGAGCAGUGCUGAAACCUGGUUUAAAUCCAGUUCAGUAUCAGAUAAUAAUUAGUUUUGAAUAUGGGCUAAUUUGACUCCAAAUUAAUAAACAAAAGAGAAUGAAAAAAAGUAAACGCAUGAUAUAGGCUCAGAGAACCUAAUCUUAUCUUCUGGUAAGAUGUAAGUUUUAUAUGAAGCUCAUCAAAUUGUUUUGAGGACAUGGCUGUAUAGUAGUGUGUCUACUCAAUAACUACUUAACAGAGGAUAUUAGAAAGUUUAUGCAUUUAAAUAUGAUGUUCUGCUAGUACCUUUUAUUAUAUAGUUUAAAAAGCCUUUCUACAGAUGAAGACUCUAUUCUAUCUCAACCUAAAUUCUAUAAAAGUCCCAAAGUUUUCCCAUUUUCCACAGUAAAACCAGUGAGCUUAGACUGGAUAAUUUGGGGUUGGAAUAUCCUCUAUGCAUGUUUUUCCAGUGGAAUUUAGUCCUUAAGGUAAGUGGCUGCAUGCAAAAUAGAGAUGUAAGCUUUCUAACGUAACAUAAAUUUAGGUCCUGGUA